rnacentral:rRNA from 1 species
AAGUGGGGAAUAGCUCGCCGAAAGGCGGAUUAAUACCGCAUGUACCUCAAAGCAAUUUGAGGCAAAGCAGCAAUGCGCUUUUGGAUGGGGUCGCGGCCUAUCAGCUAGUUGGUGGGGUAAAGGCACACCAAGGCAUCGACGGGUAGCUGGUCUGAGAGGACGACCAGCCACACUGGAACUGAGACACGGUCCAGACACCUACGGGUGGCAGCAGUCGAGAAUUUUUCUCAAUGGGGGAAACCCUGAAGGAGCGACGCCGCGUGGAGGAUGAAGGCUUUCGGGUUGUAAACUCCUGUCAUUUGGGAACAAAGUCCGCCUCUGGCGGAUGUGAUAGUACCAGAAGAGGAAGAGACGGCUAACUCUGUGCCAGCAGCCGCGGUAAUACAGAGGUCUCGAGCGUUGUUCGGAUUCAUUGGGCGUAAAGGGCGCGUAGGCUGCGGGGUAAGUCAGGUGUGAAAUCUCAGAGCUCAACUCUGAAAUUGCACUUGAUACUGCUCUGCUAGAGGACUGGAGAGGAGAUUGGAAUUCUCGGUGUAGC